UACGGGGGGAGCAAGCGUUGUUCGGAUUUACUGGGCGUAAAGGGCGCGUAGGCGGCCACCGCAAGUCAAUUGUGAAAUCUCCGGGCUUAACUCGGAAAGGUCAACUGAUACUGCGGGGCUAGAGUGCGGAAGGGGCAACUGGAAUUCUCGGUGUAGCGGUGAAAUGCGUAGAUAUCGAGAGGAACACCUGCGGCGAAGGCGGGUUGCUGGGCCGACACUGACGCUGAUGCGCGAAAGCGUGGGGAGCGAACAGG
rnacentral:rRNA from 1 species